AUGGCAGCUCUCAGCCACCUGCUUGACAACAAGGCCCAGGGUGUUGGGUUCGUUGCCAUGGCCGAUGCUCACGGGGGCAAGUGGUAUGCCCUAUUCAUCGGUAAGGUCCCAGGGGUUUAUAGUUCAUGGGAAGAAGCCAGUGCACAAGUGGCAUCGUAUAGCAACAACACCCAUAGAGGGUUCAAGACUAGGCAGGCAGCAAAACAAGCUUACUCCGAGUGGGUGCGAAAGCACAGCAGCACUGUUGACAGUCGCAAGGUUGGAGGUGUCAAGGUGGAUCGUCAGUUUGGGCUGAAGCUGAAGAACUUCAUCAUCUUCGCCCAAUUCAUCGCCAUUGCUAUGAUGUGGCGUUGGUGUGCUAGGUGUGGGUAA
rnacentral:rRNA from 1 species